rnacentral:rRNA from 1 species
UACGGAGGGGGGCGAGCGUUAUUCGGAAUUAUUGGGCGUAAAGGGCGCGUAGGCGCCUUGUAAGUCAAAGGUGAAAUCCCUCGGCUCAACUGAGGAACUGCCUUUGAAACUGCAAGGCUUGAGGCCGGGAGGGGGUAGCGGAAUUCCCAAUGUAGCGGUGAAAUGCAUAGAUAUUGGGAGGAACACCAGUGGCGAAGGCGGCUACCUGGACCGGUUCUGACGCUGAGCGCGAAAGCG